GUGGUGGAGAGGCCUGGAGAGGUGUCAUUCUAGCUGGGCAGUGGGUGACACGCAGUCAUCCCCUUAGUGAAUGCUGGGCCGGCUGCUGUGCUCUGUGUCUCCCUGCAGGCCUGCAGAUCCACCAGGGGGCUCCGUUCCUUCUGGGCCAAGGCUGAAGAAGCCGCGGCUGCACCAGAGAAGGGCAUCUGGGUGAAGGUGGAAGCCCACGUGGGCCCGCAGAACUGCCUAAGGCAUCUUCAGGUGAGGGCUCAGAACUGUCAGGCUUUCAUUUCUGCUUCAUUCCAUGGCCAAAGCAAGCCACGUGGGCAAGUCUGAAGCCAGGGGUGGGAAAGUACCCUCCACCCACAACAAAACCAUGGCAAGCAGGUAGAAAGGAGGUUGCACUAUUCAUGCUGGCCACUCUCCUACUAGCUGACAGGAUGCUGCCUAGGAUGAAACAGGGUGCGUGUGCACAAUGGAGUCAGUCCAAGACUCCUGUUCUCACUCAGGGAUUCUUCAUUUCUUCUUCCUAUUGCUUCCACUUCAUGUUAUUUUCUUCCCUUUCCAUUUACAAGUAAAACUGACCAGAGCCCCAGGAAUAAAUGGUUUUCUUGGCUUCCUCCUUGCUCCCAUCUGGACCCAGUCCCCUGGUUCCUGUCGGUCAUUUGCAAACCAAGAGGACCACAAUAAACAAAUCUCCAUAUGUUUUGAAAUAUUAAAGCAUUCACUCUGCAAA